CCUACGGGUGGCAGCAGUGGGGAAUAUUGGACAAUGGGGGGAACCCUGAUCCAGCCAUGCCGCGUGUGUGAAGAAGGCCCUCGGGUUGUAAAGCACUUUCAGUGAGGAAGAACGCCUGGUGGUUAAUACCCAUCAGGAAAGACAUCACUCACAGAAGAAGCACCGGCAUAACUCCGUGCCAGCAGCCGCGGUAAUACGGAGGGUGCGAGCGUUAAUCGGAAUUACUGGGCGUAAAGCGCGCGUAGGUGGCUUGAUAAGCCGGUUGUGAAAGCCCCGGGCUCAACCUGGGAACGGCAUCCGGAACUGUCAAGCUAGAGUGCAGGAGAGGAAGGUAGAAUUCCCGGUGUAGCGGUGAAAUGCGUAGAGAUCGGGAGGAAUACCAGUGGCGAAGGCGGCCUUCUGGACUGACACUGACACUGAGGUGCGAAAGCGUGGGUAGCAAACAGGAUUAGAUACCCCAGUAGUC
rnacentral:rRNA from 1 species